GAUGUAAUCAAGAAAUUUUCAUGAAUCGUUGUCACGAUUCAUGAAAAUUUCUACCAAAGCAGCAAUGUUGUGUUGCAUUUUAUAAUUUGAGAUAAAUUUUUGGAUACGGUAUUGAGCACUUUGCAAACUUCAUUUAAAUUACCCAUUUCCCCUUUAGAAUAACGAGCGUGUAAUUCAGCGAAAACGAACAAACGCAAACACCGAACCAAAACAAAGAGCAAAAUUUCACUAAAUUCGAACCGCAAGUCAACCAGACAUAGAACAUUUUUCGGGACGAUUUGAAUAAACGUCGGUUAAAAAUGAAACGCACGAAAAGAUGACAGCCAGAUUUUGAUUUGGUGCGGAAAAGGUGGUACGUCUGCUAGAAAAAGUCACCGAAAUUUCCGACAGUGGUUCUUUUUCGUUCGGCCUUGCUGCUUGCAACAAGUGUCGGUGUCGGUGCGAUCAAAAGUAAAACGCGUGUCGAGGAAAGGCGUGUCAUUAGUGCCAAGAAAUAGGGGUAACUCGUGCAGGAGCACUCGGCUACCUUCGGAGGAAAAGCGCCCACUGAAAAGAGGUUGCAAUCAACCGUGGGUCUGGAGCCGCAGCUGGAACAGCAGAACAUAACCUCAAAAGGGGUCGGAAGUGACCCCUUUUUUAUCUCUACCUUGGAUGGUAUUCUGAUUCUUCGACCCGACCGAAGCUAACAAAAAUAGCCCGAAAAGAAACUGGCUGUUUAGCGCACGGACAUCACUUUCGCAGGAUCAACCAUUCGAUUUAAAUUUGGCCACCACCACUUCUACGUGUGAGGGGAGAAAGCUUGUUUUCAUCUGGAGCGACAGCCACGCAACCUGUUAGGCUGUUGUGUUCCGGAAAUCCAACCAACCAGAAGAUUUCAUUUUUCGUGACUGGUUCAUCGUUCAUCGCGCACGGAGGAAAAAGUCGCAGCAAGAAUCCGAACGCGUGGGGCACAGGCGUGCUCAAAGGAGGUGCUAGUCAUGCAUCAGUCCCGGGGACCAUUGAACGGGAUUCUAGCGAUGGCGGGACCAACAACAACAAGCAUCGCUCCGAGCAUUGACCUGGGCAGAAUGCCUGAUCCGACUCAUGGAAGGAAGUGGCCCGAUACAGGACCAACAAGGCUGGAAAUCGACAAAAUUCCACCCAAGGAGGUCGGGCCGAAUUGCCAGAAGAGGCAACAUGCAGAUCCCGUGUAAGUCGUUUGAUGUUCGAUAAUUCUGGGGGGGGGAAUCAAUA